AGCCGGGUCCACGCAACGGAGAAUCACGAACCCCGCCAGGUCCGGGAGGAAGCAACGGUAGUGCCCCUCUCCGUGUGCCGUGGGGUGCCCGGCUAUC
rnacentral:SRP_RNA from 1 species